rnacentral:pre_miRNA from 1 species
UGGACAAAUUAUUGUAUACUGUAUUCACGGCGUGAAACAUGGGACUACACUGUUUUUAAACGGAAAGUGAAUCAAUUAACAUAAUAGACUCCU